AUUGAACGCUGGCGGCAUGCCUUACACAUGCAAGUCGAACGGCAGCACGGGGCAACCUGGUGGCGAGUGGCGAACGGGUGAGUAAUGCAUCGGAACGUACCUUUCAGUGGGGGAUAACGUAGCGAAAGUUACGCUAAUACCGCAUAUUCUGUGAGCAGGAAAGCAGGGGAUCGCAAGACCUUGCGCUGAUUGAGCGGCCGAUGUCAGAUUAGCUAGUUGGGGAGGUAAAGGCUCACCAAGGCGACGAUCUGGAGCGGGUCUGAGAGGAUGAUCCGCCACACUGGAACUGAGACACGGUCCAGACUCCUACGGGAGGCAGCAGUGGGGAAUUUUGGACAAUGGGGGCAACCCUGAUCCAGCCAUGCCGCGUGAGUGAAGAAGGCCUUCGGGUUGUAAAGCUCUUUCGGCCGGGAAGAAAUCGCACGGGCUAAUACCCUGUGUGGAUGACGGUACCGGAAUAAGAAGCACCGGCUAACUACGUGCCAGCCGCCGCGGUAAUAC
rnacentral:rRNA from 1 species